rnacentral:rRNA from 3 species
ACAGUGGACGCGAGCAUCUGUGGCCAAGUUUUUAAGGGCGCACGGUGGAUGCCUUGGCACCAGGAACCGAUGAAGGACGUGGGAGGCCACGAUAGUCCCCGGGGAGUCGUCAACCAGGCUUUGAUCCGGGGGUUUCCGAAUGGGGAAACCCGGCAGUCGUCAUGGGCUGUCACCCGCUGCUGAACACAUAGGCAGUGUGGAGGGAACGAGGGGAAGUGAAACAUCUCAGUACCCUCAGGAAGAGAAAACAACCGUGAUUCCGGGAGUAGUGGCGAGCGAAACCGGAUGAGGCCAAACCGUAUGCGUGUGAUACCCGGCAGGGGUUGCGUAUGCGGGGUUGUGGGAUCUCUUUUCUGCGGUCUGCCGGCCGUGGGACGAGUCAGAAACCGUAUGGAUAGGCGAAGGGCAUGCGAAAGGCCCGGCGUAGAGGGUAAGACCCCCGUAGCUGAAAUUCAUGCGGCUCGUUUAAGAGACACCCAAGUAGCACGGGGCCCGAGAAAUCCCGUGUGAAUCUGGCGGGACCACCCGUUAAGCCUAAAUAUUCCCUGGUGACCGAUAGCGGAUAGUACCGUGAGGGAAUGGUGAAAAGUACCGCGGGAGCGGAGUGAAAUAGUACCUGAAACCGUGUGCCUACAAGCCGUGGGAGCGUCGGAGCGUGAGGUUUGCCUUGCGUUCUCGUGACUGCGUGCCUUUUGAAGAAUGAGCCUGCGAGUUUGCGGUGUGUUGCGAGGUUAACCCGUGUGGGGAAGCCGUAGCGAAAGCGAGUCCGAAUAGGGCGAUUUAGUAGCGCGCUCAAGACCCGAAGCGGAGUGAUCUAGCCAUGGGCAGGUUGAAGCGGCUGUAAGAGGUCGUGGAGGACCGAACCCACCAGGGUUGAAAACCUGGGGGAUGACCUGUGGUUAGGGGUGAAAGGCCAAUCAAACUCCGUGAUAGCUGGUUCUCCCCGAAAUGCAUUUAGGUGCAGCGUCGUGUGUUUCUUGCCGGAGGUAGAGCACUGGAUAGGCGAUGGGCCCUACCGGGUUACUGACCUUAGCCAAACUCCGAAUGCCGGUAAGUGAGAGCGCGGCAGUGAGACUGUGGGGGAUAAGCUCCAUGGUCGAGAGGGAAACAGCCCAGAGCAUCGACUAAGGCCCCUAAGCGUACGCUAAGUGGGAAAGGAUGUGGAGUCGCAGAGACAACCAGGAGGUUGGCUUAGAAGCAGCCACCCUUGAAAGAGUGCGUAAUAGCUCACUGGUCAAGUGAUUCCGCGCCGACAAUGUAGCGGGGCUCAAGCGUACCGCCGAAGUCGUGUCAAUCCAGCAAUAGGGCCAACGCCCGUUGGGUUGGGUAGGGGAGCGUCGUGUGCCGGGUGAAGCCGCCGCGUAAGCGAGUGGUGGAUGGUACACGAGUGAGAAUGCAGGCAUGAGUAGCGAUACACACGUGGGAAACGUGUGCGCCGAUUGACUAAGGGUUCCUGGGUCAAGCUGAUCUGCCCAGGGUAAGUCGGGACCUAAGGCGAGGCCGACAGGCGUAGUCGAUGGACAACCGGUUGAUAUUCCGGUACCCGCUUUGAAGCGCCCAGUAUCGAAUCCUCUGAUGCUAAGGCCGUGAAGCCGCCUUUGAUCUCUUCGGAGUGAUGGGGAGUGGUGGAGCCGCUGAACCGAGGUGGUAGUAGGUAAGUGAUGGGGUGACGCAGGAAGGUAGUCCAGCCCGGGCGGUGGUUGUCCCGGGGUAAGGGUGUAGCCCGUGUGGUAGGUAAAUCCGUCACACAUUAAGGGUGAGACCUGAUGCCGAGCCGAUUGUGGUGAAGUGGAUGAUCCUAUGCUGUCGAGAAAAGCCUCUAGCGAGUUUCAAGGCGGCCCGUACCCUAAACCGACUCAGGUGGUCAGGUAGAGAAUACCGAGGCGUUCGGGUGAACUAUGGUUAAGGAACUCGGCAAAAUGCCCCCGUAACUUCGGGAGAAGGGGGGCCAUUCCUGGUGAUCGUCUUUACGAUGUGAGCUGGGGGUGGCCGCAGAGACCAGCGAGAAGCGACUGUUUACUAAAAACACAGGUCCGUGCGAAGCCGUAAGGCGAUGUAUACGGACUGACGCCUGCCCGGUGCUGGAACGUUAAGGGGACCGGUUAGUGACCUUUCGGGGUUGCGAAGCUGAGAACUUAAGCGCCAGUAAACGGCGGUGGUAACUAUAACCAUCCUAAGGUAGCGAAAUUCCUUGUCGGGUAAGUUCCGACCUGCACGAAUGGCGUAACGACUUCUCGACUGUCUCAACCAUAGGCCCGGUGAAAUUGCACUACGAGUAAAGAUGCUCGUUUCGCGCAGCAGGACGGAAAGACCCCGGGACCUUUACUACAGUUUGAUAUUGGUGUUCGGUUCGGCUUGUGUAGGAUAGGUGGGAGACUUUGAAGCGGCCACGCCAGUGGUUGUGGAGUCGUUGUUGAAAUACCACUCUGGUCGUGCUGGAUGUCUAACCUGGGUCCGUGAUCCGGAUCAGGGACAGUGUCUGAUGGGUAGUUUAACUGGGGCGGUUGCCUCCUAAAGAGUAACGGAGGCGCCCAAAGGUUCCCUCAGCCUGGUUGGUAAUCAGGUGUUGAGUGUAAGUGCACAAGGGAGCUUGACUGUGAGACCGACGGGUCGAGCAGGGACGAAAGUCGGGACUAGUGAUCCGGCGGUGGCUUGUGGAAGCGCCGUCGCUCAACGGAUAAAAGGUACCCCGGGGAUAACAGGCUGAUCUUCCCCAAGAGUCCAUAUCGACGGGAUGGUUUGGCACCUCGAUGUCGGCUCGUCGCAUCCUGGGGCUGGAGUCGGUCCCAAGGGUUGGGCUGUUCGCCCAUUAAAGCGGUACGCGAGCUGGGUUUAGAACGUCGUGAGACAGUUCGGUCCCUAUCCGCUGUGCGCGUAGGAGUCUUGAGAAGGGCUGUCCCUAGUACGAGAGGACCGGGACGGACGAACCUCUGGUGUGCCAGUUGUCCUGCCAAGGGCAUGGCUGGUUGGCUACGUUCGGAAAGGAUAACCGCUGAAAGCAUCUAAGCGGGAAGCCUGCUUCGAGAUGAGGACUCCCACCCCCUUUGAGGGGUUAAGGCUCCCAGUAGACGACUGGGUUGAUAGGCCGGAUCUGGAAGCCAGGUAACUGGUGGAGGUGACCGGUACUAAUAGGCCGAGGGCUUGUCCAUAUUU